rnacentral:rRNA from 1 species
UGGGGAAUAUUGCACAAUGGGGGGAAACCCUGAUGCAGCGACGCCGCGUGAGUGAAGAAGUAUUUCGGUAUGUAAAGCUCUAUCAGCAGGGACGAAAAUGACGGUACCUGACUAAGAAGCCCCGGCUAACUACGUGCCAGCAGCCGCGGUAAUACGUAGGGGGCAAGCGUUAUCCGGAUUUACUGGGUGUAAAGGGAGCGUAGACGGUCUGGCAAGUCUGAUGUGAAAAACCCAGGGCUCAACCUUGGGAUUGCAUUGGAAACUGUCAGACUAGAGUGCAGGAGAGGUAAGUGGAAUUCCUAGUGUAGCGGUGAAAUGCGUAGAUAUUAGGAGGAACACCAGUGGCGAAGGCGGCUUACUGGACUGUAACUGACGUUGAGGCUCGAAAGUGUGGGGAGCAAACAGGAUUAGAUACCCUGGUAGU